UACAGAGGGUGCAAGCGUUGUUCGGAUUUACUGGGCGUAAAGCGUGCGUAGGCGGUAUUGAGAGUCAUAGGUGAAAUCCCAGGGCUUAACCCUGGAACUGCCCGUGAGACCUCAGUACUAGAGUGUGAUAGGGGAUAGUGGAAUGCCAAGUGUAGCGGUGAAAUGCGUAGAGAUUUGGCGGAACACCGGUGGCGAAGGCGGCUAUCUGGAUCACAACUGACGCUCAGGCACGAAAGCAUGGGGAGCAAACAGG
rnacentral:rRNA from 1 species